CGAUAACGAAGAGGUAGAUGAGAAGCCUGACUACGGAGACGGGGGUGAGAAGGUGACGAAGCGUACUUCAUGAGCUGUAACCGAAAACUGACAUUUGGAAAGUUUGAGAGUCCAUCAAGUUUGCCAACACAACAGUGGUGGGCCUGAUAGCUGACGAGACAGGGAGCAGGUUGCAGUAGAGGGUCAAAAGAUUCAAGUUCUUUGGCAUACACAUCACAGAGGACCUGACAUGGACCAAUCACACAGACGGUGGUGAAGGCACAACAGCGCCUCUUCAACUUCAGGCAACUGAAAAAGCUUGGCAUGGGACCUCAGAUCCUCAAGAAGUUCUACAGCUGCACCAAUGAGCAUCUUGACCGACUACAUCACUGCCUGGUAGGGAGGGAAACUGCACUGCACACAACCGCAAGGCUCUACAGAGGGUGGUGAGGAUG